GCCAGGCAUGGUGGCGAGCACCCGUAGUCCCAGCUACUUGGGAAGUGGAGGUUGGAGGAUGGCUUGGGCCCAGGAGUUCUGGGCUGCAGUGCAAUAUGCUGAUCGGGUGUCCGCACUAAGUUUGGCAUCAAGAUGGUGACCUCCUGGGAGCUGGGGAACCGCCAGGUUGCCUAAGGAGGGGUGAACUGGCCCAGGUCAGAAAUGGAACAGGUCAAAAUUCCCGUGCUGAUCAGUAGAAAUAAUAGUCAACCCACAUCUGUGACCCUGGGAGAAAUACUACGGUUUCCA
rnacentral:SRP_RNA from 1 species